rnacentral:rRNA from 1 species
AGUGAACGCUGGCGGCAUGCCUAACACAUGCAAGUCGAACGGCAGCACAGUAAGCGCUUGCUCUUACGGGGGGCGAGGGGCGGACGGGUGAGGAAUACAUCGGAAUCUACUUUUUCGUGGGUGAUAACGAAGGGGAACUUACGCUAAUACCGCAUACGACCUACGGGUGAAAGCAGGGGAUCUUCGUACCUUGCGCGAUUGAAUGAGCCGUUGUCGGAUUAGCUAGUUGGCGGGGUAACGACCAACCAAUGGGACGAUCCGUAGCUGGUCUGGGAGAAUGAUCGGACACGCUGGAACUGGAAGACCGGCCAGACUGCUACGGGAGGCCGCAGUGGGGAAUAUUGGACGAUGGGAGCAAGCAUGAUCCAGCCAUACCGCGUGGGUGAAGAAGGCCUUCGGGUUGUAAAGCAGUUUUGUUGGGGAAGAUAAGCAGCUGGUUAAGAAGAAGAUGUUCUGACGGUACCUGAAGAAUAAGCACCGGCUAACUUCGUG